CUCCAUGAAGCCGGAAUCACUAGUAAUCGGGAAUCAGCCAUGUCCCGGUGAAUACGUUCUCGGAUCUUGUACUCACCGCCCGUCACGUCAAGAGAGUCGGCAACACCCGAAGGUCCUGUUUCAAAGCAGGGACAACGGUGGGGCUGAUGAUAGGGACGAAGUCGUAACAAGGCAUCCGUAGCGGAAGCUGUGGAUGGAUCACCUCCUUUCUAGGGAGUA
rnacentral:rRNA from 1 species